rnacentral:rRNA from 1 species
UACGUAGGUGGCGAGCGUUGUCCGGAUUUACUGGGCGUAAAGGGCGCGUAGGCGGCCAGCACAAGUCAGUUGUGAAAUCUCCGAGCUUAACUCGGAACGGUCAACUGAUACUGUGCGGCUAGAGUGCAGAAGGGGCAACUGGAAUUCUCGGUGUAGCGGUGAAAUGCGUAGAUAUCGAGAGGAACACCUGCGGCGAAGGCGGGUUGCUGGGCUGACACUGACGCUGAUGCGCGAAAGCCAGGGGAGCGAACGGG